UGUAUAAAAGUGCAACACCCAUAGGGUUUCUCCCCAAUCGGCUUCGUCCCCUCUUCCUGUUCACUCGAGGGAGCCGCCGCCGCCCCCUCCCAUUCCAAACUCCUCUCUUCCCCGCCUCCCCUCGCCCUGCCGGCCAUCCUCCCCGUCCUCCGCCGCCACCGACCAGCCGCAACCGCCGCGCUACCAUCCCCUCCCUGUUCCUCUCCCGUGGCAAGUCCUCCGAGAAGCAGCCCAAGGGCAGCCGCCUGCCGCUCGGUGGCCGGACGCCGAGAAGCGCCGCUGCUUUGGCUCCGCCGUCUCCUUCGCCCUGCCUGCCGGAUCCACGCUGUCGUCCUCGCGUGCACACGGCAGGUGCUCCGCCUCUUACUCUCGUUCGGCCAGAUCCACGGUGCACGGCCUCUCUCGUGACCCUGAGCCGUGGCAAGGGUUUCAGGCUGGGCAUCGGCUUCGUCGCCGGCGCGGCUCCGGUGGAUUCAGGCGGCUCCUCUCCGUCUCCUCUCUCGCCCCCACGCGCGGCUCCGCUUCCCGCUGGCCAUGAGAUUGUGGCGAGGUUGAGCGUAUGGAGCAGAGGGACCAGGUCCGGCCGAUGGCUUGUUUCCUCUAUACGUACUUGAUGGUUAGCCCAUGUAGCAGAUCGACUGAUUCUGAGAAAGGAAAAAAAUGGUAACAGAUCGACUAAUUCUUGGCUUGCUGCAUGCGCGUGAUCUUCUCUGGUUUCUCUUCCCCAAUUGGCAACGAACCAGCCAUGCCAAGGUCAACGGCGCCUUGUCCACACCGUCUAAUUGCGAUUUCCGGCUGUUGGGUGUGAUUAGUGCAGGAAGAUCCGUUGCUGCUACAGAACCCAACUCCUGAGCACGUCGGAGUUGAGCAAGAAGACAGGAGGAGGUGUCGAGGAGGAAGAGGCCCCUCUUCCUUUUUGGUCCACGCCGCUACGAAAGUGAUAUUAGGUGAACUUGUUAUACUCUUUCUGGUUCAAUGGAACUUACCUACGCACAUUAGGGGUUUUACUUUAGCUGGUGAGUGUUUGUGAGCGAGAUGGCUGUCGCUUCCGCAUGGAUCCACCUCCUAGCCGUUGACCACUUCAUUGGAAGGCACGUGUAACCUUGAUGGGCAAAUAUGGUGAAGACUUGAAGUUGAUAUACUAAUGUGGUAUAUGAAGCUAUGUUCAAGGGCGUCACACAGGUUUGGAAUCUUCAUUCACAUCUGCACCUCACUUGUUACCUGUGUUCUUGCUUCAGUCUUUUUUUGUAAUCAUAUUCCUAUAUACUGGGCAUCAUUCUGUAUUGCCAGUGCUUUCUAUUAAUCACCAUUUUAAGAAUCAUUCCUAUAUACUGGUUCUUGCUUCAGUCUGAGAUUGAAGUUUCUUGAUUUUAUCCUAUUAGAUUCCAAACCUGACUUUGGGCGAUUGCUUGAGGGAGUUUCCACUUCUCUUUUUGUGUGUGAUUCUUGCUAUAAUGGCCGAAUUGGUCCUGUUGUGUGCAUACUGCUGAAGCACCUAUUGACUUUAAAUCAUCUGAAGAAUGGGACAGAAGUGAUGAUAAUAAGAUAAUAGUAUUUCUUAAGCCUAUAUUUAGUUUUCCCUUCCUUCUACACUAAAAUGUGUACUAACAUUUCUUGAGAACAGAACUAGGGCAGUGCACAUAUAUGAUUUAUUUAUUCUUCUUUCAUAUUGGAGAGAGUGGUAGUACCUUGCUGAUUACACUAAUUUUGUCCUAUUAGAGGGUUCUGUAUAUUCUCUAGCUACUUAAUGAUUUCUUUCUUGGCUGUGAUUUAUUUGGUAUUUGAGGUGCUAACAAAUAGGAGUUGUGACAGAAAAAUGUCGUUUUAUUUGCUCUCAUGUGACAAGCAUGCCCAGAGUCUUGCGAGUUAUACCCGUGUUGAGAUAUGCUAUGGUUUAUUAUGUCUUUAUUUCAUGUUUAUUUCAGGCUUGUUUUGUGGCCUCAAAUCCAAUGUAUCCUUGAUUCUGUAAUUAUUGAAUAAAUGUCUGCAUUCUGCGUUCAGUUCUGUAACAUAGAAGUGUUGGCGUGCUUCUUUUCAUCUCCAGCCAACUGGUCCAUCAUUUCUCUGGUUUAAUAAAAAGGAAAAUAUUGUUCUUUUUGUAGCUCAGUGGCACUUAUUGCCUUAUGAAGGCUGAUUCUUAAAUUGCCUAAUUAACAAGCAACACUUAAAUGUAGAUGGUUAUCCUUUGCCACUCUUUAGUAAUAUAUCGGAUUUUCCCAUAUCCUGUUCAUGACAAAGAUGUGUAUGUGUGUGGACAUGUGUGUGUGUGUCUGUGUGUGUGUGCGUGCACGCGCGUGUGUGCGUGUGCUAUUGUAUUAGGAUUUAAAGUUUGGGUCUCCUCUGAUUUAGUUACUUCCUCCUCCUAUUCUAAUGCUGAUGCUUUGCUUUUGUG